UGCCCAUGGAAAGGCUGGAAAGUGACUCGU
rnacentral:piRNA from 1 species